rnacentral:pre_miRNA from 1 species
AAUAAGUGCAGCCGUGGAUAUCCGUGCCCAACGUUUAACCAUCCGUCUUAUUUGAAAAAUUUGAAGAUAUUUAGUCACACAUAGAGUACUAUUCAUGUUUUAUCAUCUAAUAGCAAUACAAAUACUAAUCAUAAAUUUUUUUCAAAUAAGACGAACAGUCAAACAUUGAACGUGAAUAGUGCAAAACUGCACUUAUU